rnacentral:rRNA from 1 species
GACGAACGCUGGCGGCGUGCCUAAUACAUGCAAGUCGAACGCUUCUUUUCUACCGAGUGCUUGCACUCACCAGGAAAGAGGAGUGGCGGACGGGUGAGUAACACGUGGGUAACCUGCCCAUUAGAAGGGGAUAACACUUGGAAACAGGUGCUAAUACCGUAUAAUUGUUUUGUCGCAUGACAGAAAUAUGAAAGACGCUUUCGGGUGUCGCUAAUGGAUGGACCCGCGGUGCAUUAGUUAGUUGGUGAGGUAAUGGCUCACCAAGACUGUGAUGCAUAGCCGACCUGAGAGGGUGAUCGGCCACACUGGGACUGAGACACGGCCCAAACUCCUACGGAGGCAGCAGUGGGGAAUAUUGCACAAUGGGGGAAACCCUGAUGCAGCAACGCCGCGUGAAGGAAGAAGGUUUUCGGAUCGUAAACUUCUAUCGAUAGGGAAGAAAAAAUAGACGGUACCUAAGUAAGAAGCCCGGCUAACUACGUG